AAGACUAUACUUCACAGGAUCAUUUCUGUAGUAUUUCUUAUACUUUCGACUUUGGUUAACACUAGAGCGAACGGCAACCACGAUGACGAGCUGUGGUGCUUUAUCUGAAAGCGUGAGGGAGAUUCGUGUGGUUUUUUGUUGCAUUUCAUGUAUCGAAACUCACAAUCGUCGAUGAUCGCUAACCCGUUGGUUACUCAGCGGGACACGGAUAAGGUGCUUUCUGAGUGGC